GUUGUGGCUCAGUGGUAGAGUACUUGCCUAGCAUGUGUGAGGCACUGGGUUCAAGUCUCAGCACCACA
rnacentral:tRNA from 1 species